CCUACGGGAGGCAGCAGUGGGGAAUAUUGGACAAUGGGGGGAACCCUGAUCCAGCCAUGCCGCGUGUGUGAAGAAGGCCCUCGGGUUGUAAAGCACUUUCAGUGAGGAAGAACGCCUGGUGGUUAAUACCCAUCAGGAAAGACAUCACUCACAGAAGAAGCACCGGCUAACUCCGUGCCAGCAGCCGCGGUAAUACGGAGGGUGCGAGCGUUAAUCGGAAUUACUGGGCGUAAAGCGCGCGUAGGUGGCUUGAUAAGCCGGUUGUGAAAGCCCCGGGCUCAAACUGGGAACGGCAUCCGGAACUGUCAAGCUAGAGUGCAGGAGAGGAAGGUAGAAUUCCCGGUGUAGCGGUGAAAUGCGUAGAGAUCGGGAGGAAUACCAGUGGCGAAGGCGGCCUUCUGGACUGACACUGACACUGAGGUGCGAAAGCGUGGGUAGCAAACAGGAUUAGAUACCCCAGUAGUC
rnacentral:rRNA from 1 species